AUUGAACGCUGGCGGCAUGCCUUACACAUGCAAGUCGAACGGCAGCACGGGAGCAAUCCUGGUGGCGAGUGGCGAACGGGUGAGUAAAGUAUCGGAACGUGCCCAGUCGUGGGGGAUAACGUAGCGAAAGUUACGCUAAUACCGCAUACGAUCUAUGGAUGAAAGAGGGGGAUCGCAAGACCUCGCGCGAUUGGAGCGGCCGAUAUCAGAUUAGGUAGUUGGUGGGGUAAAGGCGCACCAAGCCGACGAUCUGUAGCUGGUCUGAGAGGACGACCAGCCACACUGGGACUGAGACACGGCCCAGACUCCUACGGGAGGCAGCAGUGGGGAAUUUUGGACAAUGGGCGAAAGCCUGAUCCAGCCAUGCCGCGUGCAGGAUGAAGGCCUUCGGGUUGUAAACUGCUUUUGUACGGAACGAAAAGGUUUGGCCUAAUAAGCUGAGCUCAUGACGGUACCGUAAGAAUAAGCACCGGCUAACUACGUGCCAGCAGCCGCGGUAAUAC
rnacentral:rRNA from 1 species